UGCAUAUCAAUAAGCGGAGGAAAAGAAACCAACAGGGAUUGCCCCAGUAACGGCGAGUGAAGCGGCAACAGCUCAAAUUUGAAAUCUGGCCCCUAGGGUCCGAGUUGUAAUUUGUAGAGGAUGCUUUUGGUGAGGUGCCGCCCGAGUUCCCUGGAACGGGACGCCGCAGAGGGUGAGAGCCCCGUCUGGCUGGCCACCGAGCCUCUGUAAAGCUCCUUCGACGAGUCGAGUAGUUUGGGAAUGCUGCUCAAAAUGGGAGGUAUAUGUCUUCUAAAGCUAAAUAUUGGCCAGAGACCGAUAGCGCACAAGUAGAGUGAUCGAAAGAUGAAAAGCACCUUGAAAAGAGGGUUAAACAGUACGUGAAAUUGUUGAAAGGGAAGCGCUUGUGACCAGACUUGGGCGCGGCGGAUCAUCCGGGGUUCUCCCCGGUGCACUUCGCCGUGUUCAGGCCAGCAUCAGUUCGGCGCGGGGGAAAAAGGCUUCGGGAACGUGGCUCCUCCGGGAGUGUUAUAGCCCGUUGCAUAAUACCCUGCGCUGGACUGAGGACCGCGCAUCUGCAAGGAUGCUGGCGUAAUGGUCACCAGCGACCCGUCUUGAACCACGGACCA
rnacentral:rRNA from 1 species